rnacentral:rRNA from 1 species
GAGUGGGUGUUGCAGCUAACGCAUUAAAUAAUCUGCCUGGGUAGUACAUUCGCAAGAAUGAAACUCAAACGGAAUUGACGGGGACCCGCACAAGUGGUGGAGCAUGCUGCUUAAUUUGACGAUACACGUAAAACCUUACCUAGGUUUGACAUCCCCUGCAAAGCUAUAGAAAUAUAGUGGAGGUUAACAGAGUGAAGAUGGUGCAAA